CAGCCCUCCCCUGCUCACUGCUGUGGCUGAUGGAGGAGGAGCAUGUCUCUGUACCAUGCUCCGAGCAUGGUACAGAGACAUGCUCCUCCUCCAUCAGCCACAGCAGUGAGAGGUGCAU